rnacentral:lncRNA from 1 species
CCUUCUCUUCUUCACAUCCUCGUCCUCGUCCUCCUUCUCUCCUGUAACAGACAAGUCCCUUCGAGACGCUCUGAGUGGCCUGCAAAGGAGCUGAGCUCCAGGGCCUGGUCGGGGGGCUGCAGCUUGGCCACCGCACCCUGUGCCCUGCCACUGCCUGCACCACGCGGCAGGGUCCAGGAUGCCCCAAGGCACUGUCAGAGACUCCUGGUGGACACGGGCCUGGAGUGAGAGCCCGGAGUAGUCACCAAACUCCCCACAUGGCCUGAGGCGGCCAGGAUGGGCUAGGGACACAGCCUGCCCACCCCAUGUGCACCACAGCCCCCUGCUCCCUCUGUCCUCCCCAUUCUGCUUGUCCAAUCUCAUGCCCUGCGAUGGGGUCUUCUCCCAAUAUCACAGGAGAAGCCAAUUCUCCCCGGAUGAAGAGGCGGCAGCUGAAGGCCUCAGGAAGUGAAGCAGCUGCUCCGCCGCCCUCUAUCCCACCUCUAGGUGGACUGUGACGAGCGUCCUGGCGGCCCCGUCUGAACUAGGGCCUCAGCAGGUCUGACAGUCCUUGCUGGCCCGACCUCUAUCUUCCACUCACAAAAACCGUCAAUCUAGGGCUUUCCCAGGGCUGCGUGGGAAGCAAUCCUAGAAAAAAAUUUGGGAAGAGACCAAUUGGUCCUCCCGUCCGUCCCCCGGGGCCAGCAGAGGAGCUCCUCGGAGAGCCACGCGGCCAUCAUCCCAGCAUGAGGCCAGGGACGGACGCUGAAAAAAGGUUGGAGAAGCAUCUGAACUGUAACCCCUACCCCUGAUGCCAGUCCCGAGACUGUCCCACGAAGAUGGCGACCGGCGUGCGCUGCUCAGAAGCCUCUCAAAAGGGCGUGUGGGAUUUUUGGCAAGAGGUCACUGCCUGAAACUAUGACUGCUGUUUAAUAGCAAAGUCAUCCCGGGUAGGUAGCAGGACCUGCGCGCAACAGACAUGUCACCUUUGCUUUAGCAUUGUGCCGCUAAGCGCUCGGGGCGCCCCGUGCUAUGGACAGGACUGCUGCGGGUCGCGGGGGGGAGGACCGCAGAGGGCUGGCAAAGCCUGAACAGGAGGAACAUCUAAGCCAAGGGCCUUCAGAAUGGAUGGGAGCAGGGCCACUGAGGAGCCAGCCUAUGAUCCUUGGGGUAACCAGCUACGGAAAGACCCACAGGACAGGUAAAGAAACGAGUGGCUUCAGGGUGAGCUCCAGGCCGCGGCACCUCAGGCCGCUCUGCCAUGAGGGAUUUAAGCCUGCUCUGCUGUUGCUG